GGUUAAGCGACUAAGCGUACACGGUGGAUGCCCUGGCAGUCAGAGGCGAUGAAGGACGUGCUAAUCUGCGAUAAGCGUCGGUAAGGUGAUAUGAACCGUUAUAACCGGCGAUUUCCGAAUGGGGAAACCCAGUGUGUUUCGACACACUAUCAUUAACUGAAUCCAUAGGUUAAUGAGGCGAACCGGGGGAACUGAAACAUCUAAGUACCCCGAGGAAAAGAAAUCAACCGAGAUUCCCCCAGUAGCGGCGAGCGAACGGGGAGCAGCCCAGAGCCUGAAUCAGUGUGUGUGUUAGUGGAAGCGUCUGGAAAGGCGCGCGAUACAGGGUGACAGCCCCGUACACAAAAAUGCACAUGCUGUGAGCUCGAUGAGUAGGGCGGGACACGUGGUAUCCUGUCUGAAUAUGGGGGGGCCAUCCUCCAAGGCUAAAUACUCCUGACUGACCGAUAGUGAACCAGUACCGUGAGGGAAAGGCGAAAAGAACCCCGGCGAGGGGAGUGAAAAAGAACCUGAAACCGUGUACGUACAAGCAGUGGGAGCACAGAGCAAUCUGUGUGACUGCGUACCUUUUGUAUAAUGGGUCAGCGACUUAUAUUCUGUAGCAAGGUUAACCGAAUAGGGGAGCCGAAGGGAAACCGAGUCUUAACUGGGCGUUAAGUUGCAGGGUAUAGACCCGAAACCCGGUGAUCUAGCCAUGGGCAGGUUGAAGGUUGGGUAACACUAACUGGAGGACCGAACCGACUAAUGUUGAAAAAUUAGCGGAUGACUUGUGGCUGGGGGUGAAAGGCCAAUCAAACCGGGAGAUAGCUGGUUCUCCCCGAAAGCUAUUUAGGUAGCGCCUCGUGAAUUCAUCUCCGGGGGUAGAGCACUGUUUCGGCAAGGGGGUCAUCCCGACUUACCAACCCGAUGCAAACUGCGAAUACCGGAGAAUGUUAUCACGGGAGACACACGGCGGGUGCUAACGUCCGUCGUGAAGAGGGAAACAACCCAGACCGCCAGCUAAGGUCCCAAAGUCAUGGUUAAGUGGGAAACGAUGUGGGAAGGCCCAGACAGCCAGGAUGUUGGCUUAGAAGCAGCCAUCAUUUAAAGAAAGCGUAAUAGCUCACUGGUCGAGUCGGCCUGCGCGGAAGAUGUAACGGGGCUAAACCAUGCACCGAAGCUGCGGCAGCGACACUAUGUGUUGUUGGGUAGGGGAGCGUUCUGUAAGCCUGUGAAGGUGUACUGUGAGGUAUGCUGGAGGUAUCAGAAGUGCGAAUGCUGACAUAAGUAACGAUAAAGCGGGUGAAAAGCCCGCUCGCCGGAAGACCAAGGGUUCCUGUCCAACGUUAAUCGGGGCAGGGUGAGUCGACCCCUAAGGCGAGGCCGAAAGGCGUAGUCGAUGGGAAACAGGUUAAUAUUCCUGUACUUGGUGUUACUGCGAAGGGGGGACGGAGAAGGCUAUGUUGGCCGGGCGACGGUUGUCCCGGUUUAAGCGUGUAGGCUGGUUUUCCAGGCAAAUCCGGAAAAUCAAGGCUGAGGCGUGAUGACGAGGCACUACGGUGCUGAAGCAACAAAUGCCCUGCUUCCAGGAAAAGCCUCUAAGCAUCAGGUAACAUCAAAUCGUACCCCAAACCGACACAGGUGGUCAGGUAGAGAAUACCAAGGCGCUUGAGAGAACUCGGGUGAAGGAACUAGGCAAAAUGGUGCCGUAACUUCGGGAGAAGGCACGCUGAUAUGUAGGUGAAGUCCCUCGCGGAUGGAGCUGAAAUCAGUCGAAGAUACCAGCUGGCUGCAACUGUUUAUUAAAAACACAGCACUGUGCAAACACGAAAGUGGACGUAUACGGUGUGACGCCUGCCCGGUGCCGGAAGGUUAAUUGAUGGGGUCAGCGCAAGCGAAGCUCUUGAUCGAAGCCCCGGUAAACGGCGGCCGUAACUAUAACGGUCCUAAGGUAGCGAAAUUCCUUGUCGGGUAAGUUCCGACCUGCACGAAUGGCGUAAUGAUGGCCAGGCUGUCUCCACCCGAGACUCAGUGAAAUUGAACUCGCUGUGAAGAUGCAGUGUACCCGCGGCAAGACGGAAAGACCCCGUGAACCUUUACUAUAGCUUGACACUGAACAUUGAGCCUUGAUGUGUAGGAUAGGUGGGAGGCUUUGAAGUGUGGACGCCAGUCUGCAUGGAGCCGACCUUGAAAUACCACCCUUUAAUGUUUGAUGUUCUAACGUUGACCCGUGAUCCGGGUUGCGGACAGUGUCUGGUGGGUAGUUUGACUGGGGCGGUCUCCUCCUAAAGAGUAACGGAGGAGCACGAAGGUUGGCUAAUCCUGGUCGGACAUCAGGAGGUUAGUGCAAUGGCAUAAGCCAGCUUGACUGCGAGCGUGACGGCGCGAGCAGGUGCGAAAGCAGGUCAUAGUGAUCCGGUGGUUCUGAAUGGAAGGGCCAUCGCUCAACGGAUAAAAGGUACUCCGGGGAUAACAGGCUGAUACCGCCCAAGAGUUCAUAUCGACGGCGGUGUUUGGCACCUCGAUGUCGGCUCAUCACAUCCUGGGGCUGAAGUAGGUCCCAAGGGUAUGGCUGUUCGCCAUUUAAAGUGGUACGCGAGCUGGGUUUAGAACGUCGUGAGACAGUUCGGUCCCUAUCUGCCGUGGGCGCUGGAGAAUUGAGGGGGGCUGCUCCUAGUACGAGAGGACCGGAGUGGACGCAUCACUGGUGUUCGGGUUGUCAUGCCAAUGGCACUGCCCGGUAGCUAAAUGCGGAAGAGAUAAGUGCUGAAAGCAUCUAAGCACGAAACUUGCCCCGAGAUGAGUUCUCCCUGACUCCUUGAGAGUCCUGAAGGAACGUUGAAGACGACGACGUUGAUAGGCCGGGUGUGUAAGCGCAGCGAUGCGUUGAGCUAACCGGUACUAAUGAACCGUGAGGCUUAACCUU
rnacentral:rRNA from 1 species